UACGAAGGGGGCUAGCGUUGUUCGGAAUCACUGGGCGUAAAGCGCACGUAGGCGGACCUUCAAGUCAGGGGUGAAAUCCCGGGGCUCAACCUCGGAACUGCCUUUGAUACUGUUGGUCUUGAGUCCGGAAGAGGUGGGUGGAAUUCCUAGUGUAGAGGUGAAAUUCGUAGAUAUUAGGAAGAACACCGGUGGCGAAGGCGGCCCACUGGUCCGGUACUGACGCUGAGGUGCGAAAGCGUGGGGAGCAAACAGG
rnacentral:rRNA from 1 species